GAGUUGGUAGCUCAGCGGUAGAAUGCAUACUUUGUAUGUAUGACGUCCUGGGUUCAAUCCUACCUGGUUAA
rnacentral:tRNA from 1 species